rnacentral:tRNA from 1 species
UAUCUGGUGGCCGACAAAGGCCUGAGUCUUUUAAACUCAUUAUAGAUACCCUUCAGAUUA